CCCACAGGCGCGUGUGUCUGCGCUCCGUUCCUCUCUGCCUAUAGGCUAUCGCGAGAGCAUGUGGACACCCCGAUCCCAGUGCCCACUGCCACGGUCUGCACGCGUAGAUGCCCGACAUACAUCCAACCAGUAAAAGUGAGUGGACCAAGCUUCAUCCCCGGGAUGUGUUGCUUCCCUUAUCAGCUGCUCCUGCUGCUCAAAGGAAAUGCUUGCCCAAAUGAGGAAACACAGAGGACAGUCAGGGGCAAUGCCCUUUCAGCUGUGCCCUGCAGCCUAUGCCCCUGGGUUUGGAGCAGGAAAGAGUGGCUACUGGCUCCUCCCUGGGUCCUCCCAAAGGAUGGAUAUCAUCAUCUGCACGUUUCAGAAGGAGAAAAUGAAGGAACGAAAAGGUUAAGUGACGUGCCCAAAAUCAAUUCACUGCUCAGAGCUGGGACUUGCAGGUUGGUACCCAGACGCUAUAUAACCCCUCCAGCCCCUCUGCAGAAAACAGCGGCCGGGUGCUCACAGUGUAAAUGGCACCAUGCCCUGGACCACACCCUGCUUUGGCUCUGGGCCCCGCCGCUCCUCAGAGCAGCCCCUGGAAACCCUCAGCAUGGCAGAGCAUCGAUCCACCUUGUCAGCUCACAGUAGGCAAAGCCUGCUCUGGGACCCGUUUCCCAGAACCUUCAGUAACAGGAAAGCAAUCUAGGAUUUCAGAGAAAAUCUGAAUAUCUGAGAAAGAGUGCAAAUGUCAUAGCUUCGUUUAGAAGACGGUGACAAAUAUUUGUAGCUAAUUUUACCCUCACUCUUUCUUUGCCCUGAUCCCCUCAGUCUCACCCACUCCCCACCCACCCCUUUCCUCUCCAAAAACAAAUAAUAUUUCAUCACACGACCCUUAUAGAAAGGCUUUAAAUUACGGCUUUAUGGACAUGAUUCUGAGAAACCAGUUCACAAAAGAUCCUUACCAGCUCUUCCUGCAGGCUAGAGAGGAAUGAGUAAUUGGAAGAAGCAGAAUUAUAAAUUAUAAUGCAAACUCUUAUGAGAUGUCAUGGCUGACUAGCAACCAACAAGCAUACAAAGGAGCGUGCUAAUGAUCACAAAAAAUGAUGAGUUUUGCCUUAAGUGGUUUCUGUGAAACAGUCCACUUGCCUGCCUGAGCCAUUCUUCUUCUUCAGCAUGGUUUCAUUUCUCUAGCACCCAUGGGACGAUGUGCAUGUCUAGACCAAAGCCAUCUUUCUCCUGUGCCUGUGCCCAUGUGUUUCAUGCAUGUGUCCGCGUGUUUGCACCAGUAGGGGCUAGAUCGAGGGAGGACUCCCCAUGUGCCAGGCGCUGGGUCAGGUGGGCCUAUGACCCAGUGGGUGUGACAGCUAGUAGUGUUCUCCUUUUACAGAUGAAGAAACUGAGGCUCAAUGAAGUUAGGAGAUUUGCCUAAGGACACACAACAACUAAUAACAAUAACACUAGUGACAGACCUGGGAUAGGAACUGGAUAUCGGCACUGAAAACAUGCACACACUCAUUCAACACUUUUAUUUCACAAAGAGAUUUCAGAGAAUAAAAAAUGAUUUUUGUUUUGCAGAGCGCUGGUUAGCCAAUCUCACCGCGACAGAGAGGGCAGAAGCAGAAUGUAACAGGGUUAAAAGUUGGAAUAAAGACGGCAACUCAGAACUCUUUGGGUCUUUUCAAUACAGCUUGAAAACUACUCAUUGAGUCCAAUACCCCAAUUUUACAGAUAAGCAAACUGAGGCCCAAAAAGGGAAUAUGAUGUCUAAGGUCACACAGCUGGUGGCAAAACCAGGACCUCCUGACUUCCAGUGCUGUCUCUGAUGUCAUUUUGGAGCUGCUCACAUUGCCUUUACAGUUUUGCACCGACCGCUGGCAUGAUACACCCCUUGGAGACUAUCGGGCCAUUCUGACCCUGUAUCUGAGGUGCAUGUGCCACCAUGGCCCCGAAGAACAGGCCAGAUGCCUUUUCCAUCUGUGUCAUCUCUGCCCACUUCCCAAUUGAAAACUAGAAUUUAGGAUAGAAAUUUUAAAUGGCCCAGGUGAGCCAGGUGAGCAAUCAUUCGUGAAGAAUGCAGCUCCAUUGCAUGUGAUCUUCGUCUGGUCGCCCUGAAUGUGCGGGCAAAGGACCUGUCAUGCCUUCGUUGCCGGGAACAGGGGGAGCAGUCAGCCGGGUGUGCCUGGCUGUAAGGUGAGCACAACUGAGCUCCUUGGUAACAUUCCUUCGGUGAGCAUCUAUUGAGCUCCUACUGAGUGCCACACCCUGUGCCUGCAUGAAGAAUGCAAAGCCGACCCUUUUUGCUUUCUCUUCCUACAUCUGGAUAAACUUGGAUAAAACGGAAUCUCUUAGGCAGUCCUUUCUAGAGUCCUUAACUCUCAUCCAACCCUUUCUAGAAGCCCCAUGGUCCUCUCUGUGCCUCCAAACUAAGAGCUGACAAAACCAGGCGGUGAGGGGGAAUGGAUCUGUAAAUUCAAUGGUUAGGGGGUAAGCAGGCCAGUCCCAGCCAGAAUUCAGAGUCUCCUCCACCUGUCAUUCCUCCUUUCCUCUCCCCUCCAGGGACACCGACCAACACCCCACAGCCACCAGCGCCCCCUCUCUCUCCCCUGCUCUCGCUCUCUCCCUGGUUUUCGCUCUGUGAUGGUGUUCGCAAAGAUACACAUUCCGUAUUUCUAAUCAAACUUCUUAGCUUCCAAGUCCCCAUGUCCGCACAUGUAACCAUGUUCCACUUUCAGGACUCUGAGGACAAUUAAAUGAGGCAAUGAGUAGACAGUGCCCAUCACAGUGUUCAGAGAAACUAAACAACUCUCCUUAAACACUGGCUGUUACAUUAGUGUUAUUACUUCAAGUACUGAGAAGAUGGUAAGUGCUCAUGGCUGGAGAGACAUAAAUUUGUUGUCCCCUUCUUUGAUGAUCCUACCUCUUCCUGGGGUGUUUGCAUUCCAUGGGAAACAAAGAGCUUUCACAUCCAAACAAUUAGGUUCCUGCUGGUGGGGGCUUCAGAACAAGAGAAAAUAGCUGGGAGAGGUCCUUCCGGGUGCUUCCAUUCUCUCCCGGUGAGUAGCACCUGCUUGGGGCUCCCAGAAGCUGCUCUGCACCCCUGAGCCCCCUUCCCCAUGCAGAUCACACCAGUGUGGAUCCCAUCUGCCCCCUGCGCUGAGGACCCCCGUGGCGUUCCUGCUCAGGAACGUGAAGCCGAUCAUGUCCCACAGCGCAGAGGCAGAAGGUGCCUGGGCUGCUGCUGGGACAGGCCCGGUGAGCUGAUAGGGCUCAGGUGCAGCUGCCAUCAACAAGCGCAGGGCCACUCAUGCUGGCAACUAACUUAGUUCGGGGGCUCUCCCAGAGAGUGUGGAGUGGCCCAAGGCUAAGCACCCCAGGGCCCCAGCUGAGGUUUGCAGCCAGGCCAGCGGAGCCGGAGCCGACCCUGCAGCAGCAAACAGGGAAAGCUGCCUUCAGCUCUGGGGAAGCGGCAUGACUCAGCACUCUGGUGGCCCUCCCAAUGUCUCCUUGUCAUCCCCUGCGCUCCAUCCCUACAGCUGCUGCCUGGGCCAGGGCGUGUAAAUCAUCCCCCAGACUAAAAGGAUGCUCAGAGAAAUUAACUUGGCCAGCACUUUAGCCCUCCUCCUGCCCCUGCGGCCCUCUCACUGGUCCGUUGGUUGUGGUAUUGCCUGUCAAUACCAACUGACGACCAGAGUCUCUGCCACGAGCCUCUCUCUCCUCCAACCUCCGUGCCAACCGCUUCCAGGAAUUCCUUCCUACAAUGUGAAUCGGACAGUCACUCACAUACUGAAAAUCCCUCAAAGACCCCCUCCCUUAAAUCCAAAUAAAGUCAAGGAUCCCUAAACUGGCAUUUUCGGCUUCUUUUCCAAACCUCUCUCCAACCCCCUUCCAGUCCCACCCUCUACUCCCUCCUGUGGGUUCCAGCUUCACGAAGCCACUCAUC